ensembl:misc_RNA Y_RNA Y RNA
GGAUGGUCUGAGUGCAGUGGUGUUUACAACUAAUUGAUCACAACCAGUUACAGAUUCCUUUGUUCCUUCUCCACUCCCAUGGCCUCACUUGACCAGCCUUAA